rfam:Capsella rubella cultivar Monte Gargano unplaced genomic scaffold scaffold_3, whole genome shotgun sequence.
GCGACAGAAGAGAGUGAGCACACAUGGCUCCUUUUUCUAGCAUGCUUAUGCUCGAAAGCUCUGCGUGCUUACUCUCUUCUUGUCUC